CCUCCGUCUGCGCCGCUCUUCAGCCUCCAGUUUUCCUCCGCUCUCGGCCGGCCUCGCUUUUUCUUUGUCUGUCUGUCUGUCUCUCUUUUCUCUCCCCCUCUCUGUCCUCCAGCCAGACCCUGUCUCUGAUUAUCUCUGUGUUUCUUUGUCUCUGUCUCAUCUGUCCCCUCGGCUCUCCCUGCCUCUGUGCCUGUCUCCAGGACAAAGAAGGCCGCUGCCCUGGGGACCCCCAGCCCCUGCACUUGGCCGCCCCUCCCCCCAGGAGGGCCUGAGGAUGGGAGACGGGCAAGGUGGGGCCCCCAGACCCUGCCAGGGCCCUUCCUCUCACUCGUGUGGCUCCUCCCACCGUCAUGGGCGGGGACUGGAUUGUUCCUGAUCCCUCCUGGCACCUGGCGGUCUCUGAAGCUGUUCCCAGGAGCACCACCUUCCUACGGGGAGGAAGCAGGGAGGGGACCCCUGCACAGGUCGGGAAAGGAGGCCCAGGGGUGCAGCCACCUGCACAGGGUCCCAGGUCACAGGAUCAGAGGUCCCCUGACUCCCAGUCCCCUGGUAAUCCCCAUGGGAGGUGGCCAGCCUCCUGGGUGGGUUGGGGGUCCCUCCCUACCUGCAGUUAAAGUCCCUUACUCCAGGCACAGGGGCCCCUGCUGAGAAGGGACCCAGCAGCCCUUAGAGAAGUUCUUGCAAAGGACACACCCAGCUCUGGGGUCUUCCACCAGGACCCACCUCCACACCCCACCAAACCCCAGGGGACACCCCACCAUUACGUUCCAGAAGAUGAACCACAGCUGCAUUGGGCCCAGUCCCAGAAAGUGACCUUGUGCGUCUAGCCUGGAUUCCUCAGAUGUCCCCUGCCCUCAGACACAAGCCACUGGGCUUUGGUGGGGACAAGUAGCACAGACACCUAGGUGACACAUCACUGUGUGCUGGGCAGAGUCCUAAGGACCUUUUAAGUCACUGUCUUCACAGUCACUCUGGGAGGUUGUUAGUGCUAACUUCAUUUACAGCUGGGGAAACAGACGCACAGAGCGUUUAAGUAACUUGCCCAAGGUCACACAGCACAUAUGGUUGGUACAAAUAAAGCAGAUUUGGUUCCAAAUGCACACACAUUCACACACACACACAUAAGAGAGAGAGAGAGAGAGAUACAUUUAUGUAUGGAUCACAAUUGUUUUUAUGUCAUUCACGAUUUUAAGGCAAGGUUGAAUCUGUUGAAUACUGGACUGAUUCUCUUGGGCACUUCUGUCCCUGGAAGGUGUUGGGAUCUGACCCCUACAAUGAGGUGGGCAUCUGGUCAGUAGCCCUUCAUUGUUGGGAUUUGUGUUUUCCAUCUCUUGAUAGGAGGAUGACCGACCAGCAGCUGAGGGAAGACUCUCUCCUCUGCUGCCCCAGCCACAGAGUCCCCAAGGGCUCACUUGCCAGGCCCUUGAAGGAAAUGUCAGACCCUCAAAGAUUCAGGACAUGGAUCUGUCCCUGCACCCCACCCUGGCAACUCACCAAGGGAGGGGCGGGAAGUUUCACACCAGCACCGAGAUGUGUGUGUGACUCUUGGGAAGGAACAAAAUUAGCCGUAUUAUCUCAUUUAACCCCGACAGCGACCCUGAAAGGCAGGGACCCCCGAUUUCCUCCAGAGGAGGAGGCUCCAAGGGCCGGGGGCCUCCAAGCCCAGCAGGAAGGCCAUGAGGGCUUCCAGGCCAGGUCCUUCCAGGCCCCCAGCUGGUGCGUGGCCCCAUGUGGCUUCUCUGUCCUUUGCUCUCUGCUCCUGCCAUCGUCAGGGAAGUGACCAAAGGAGUCUUCCGUUUGCCCAUCUGUAAAACGGGGAGGACGUGGCCGGGCAGAGCUGGUGGGGGACGGUCCUCUCCUGUCCACCUCCCUGCCGUCCUCUGGGGCUGCUGGGUCCUUCCUGGCCCUCUCUGAGUCAAUAUUUAUAAAAAUUGUCCAGCGGCCACCUCAGCGUCUCGGGCCACCGUCUCUCCCUGGCUGAGCUGGCAGUCCCCCAGCCCUCCGUCUUGGGGACGGCUCUUGGGGUACCUUAGCUCGCCACCGCUGCGGAUGCCUCCCCGACUGCCGUCCCUUCGCAGAGCUCCCAGCGCCCGGCUGGUGGGGUGUCCUCUGGGGCCCCGCUGCCCUGCGCGGGCCGGGUGCCCCCUCCCGUGGAGCCACAGCCCCCAGCCAGGCCUGCUGCGGGUUAGAUAAGGCGCAGCGCGGCUCCGCCUGUUUUGUAAUCUCCUCCUGCGCCACGGCCUGCCCUGCGCCUCCCCUGUCCCCGUCAUCUUUAUGGCUUUGGAAUGAUCUGGACGGACACUGCAUUCAUUUAGCCAAGGGCACGCAGGUCGCAGGAGACAACUCCCUCCUGUGCGUGUGUUCAGGGGGCUGAUAAGGGGUGGCAGCCCCAUCCUAUCCCUGGCAGGGAAUGGGGACCAGGAGCCCCGCUGAAGGGAAGCUUGGGAACACAAGUGACAGUGAUGGGCAGAGAUCAGACCGAGUGUCAGAGACCUGGCUCUCCGGCAGCCAUGGCGGAGCCUCGGGGAUCAGGGGAAUCCUCUGAGGUCUGGAGGUCACGGUGCCGGAUAACGGGGCCGGAGGAGUCUGUGAACCUUCCUUCCUCCCCCGCAACCAUAAACCGUGAGUCUCAGAACGUGGGUUUAGCGGUCCCCGGGGUUGAAUCCUGGCUAUGGCAGGCUGUGUGAUGCUGGGAUAGUGGCUUUCCCUCUCUGAGCCUCCGUUUCCUCUGUAAAGUGAGGGCAGUAGUGAAGCGCUCUUCAUUCUGAAUGAUGGAGGUUAAAUGAACAAGGGCCCGUGGUGCGGGGUGAGGCUGGCCGCCCGCUGCCCGCUCUGAUUCGUUUAUUUAUUAGGAGCUGCUCGUACCAGGGGCCACAAAGAGCCCCCAGGCCCUGCUCCUGAAGGUGCUCCCUGAGGUGCAAUAGAGGGCCCAGGGCCUAGGAGGCGCUGGGUUGACCCCUGGACCUUGCUGCCCCGACAGGCCUGAGUCAGCGGUGUUGAGGUUCCCUGUAGGCCGCGAGGGAUCAUGUCCCCAACUUCGGGGAGCUGGAAUGAGGGAGGUGGAAGGUGGAAUUUCCAGGCCAGCAGAGAUGGGGCUGGUUGGAGGCUUGCUUGGGAGGUGGAGGCUGGGCCUCUGCCUUCCGAUUCCUCUUGUUUUGAAUGAAUCCUGAAACUGUCCUUUGAACAGAUCAUCUUGAAGUAGGUGCCAGAGGGGGAAUCAACAUUUAUGGAAGGCCCACUAUGUGCUGGACCCACGAGAAACGUAUUACCCGUGUCAUUUCAUCCAAUCUUCCCAACAGCUGAUGCCAAUCAGAGCCAGUGCUGGCGUUUCCCGUGACACUGACAUGUCUCCGAGAGGACAGAGAUGCUGGGAGCCGGGAGGGGGCUCUGAUGGGCACCGCGAGAACAGUGGCAAGAUCUGGGAACAGAAGGGAUUGAACCCAGGGGCAUUUGACACCUGAGCCACAUCCCAGC